GAUCCUGGCUCAGGAUGAACGCUAGCGGCAGGCUUAACACAUGGCAAGGUCGAGGGGCAGCGCGGGUAGCAAGUACCUGGCGGCGACCGGCGGAAGGGUGCGUAACGCGUGAGCAACCUGCCCGUAUCAGGGGGAUAAGCGAUGGAAACGCCGUCUAAUACCCCAUAACAACGGAGGCCGCAUGGUUUCUGUUUGAAAGAUUCGUCGGAUACGGAUGGGCUCGCGAGACAUUAGCUAGUUGGUGUGGUAACGGCACACCAAGGCGACGAUGUCUAGGGGUUCUGAGAGGAAGGUCCCCACAUUGGAACUGAGACACGGUCCAAACUCCUACGGGAGGCAGCAGUGAGGAAUAUUGGUCAAUGGCCGGAAGGCUGAACCAGCCAUGCCGCGUGCAGGAAUAAGGCCCUAUGGGUCGUAAACUGCUUUUGUGGUGGAGCAAUAAGACGUACGCGUACGUCGAUGAGAGUACAUCACGAAUAAGCAUCGGCUAACUCCGUGCC
rnacentral:rRNA from 1 species